AUAUUUAAGUUUUUCUGUCUUGAUUUUGCAAUGCAGUAAACUGACAAGCAGAAUCACCCCAGGACAGUGGAAGCUGAUCAAAAACAAGAAACAGUUGACCGGCUGUGUGGGAUCUUCAUGUUAAUGGAGCCGUGGAUCACAUGAUCUCUGCGCUGCACAACAACCAAAAGUCUUCAAGGGUUUAGUGGAAGAGCCGUGCUUUCUGAUAUUGAAAGAGGAAGACCAGGAAAAGCCCUUCUUCAACUUUCACAGGCUGAAACGGAUGAUGACACACAACUGGCCAAAGAGCCUUUAGUGUUUCGCUUACAAAUUAAGGAUGAUAUGGACAUUUUUCU